UUCCCCAGCUCUCUUGACACCUUUUCUUUUGAAACUUGUUAAAGACUACGUCGCACCAUUUCUGCUUCUUUUCUAAAUUAAAAAUCUUCUUUUGUUAAACCUUGCGGGUUCGAGGUUCGGCAAUCAGAUUGACGAUAAAACAUGAGCCAAAGUACGCGAUUUGUGAGAAAGUUCAUUGUGUGUUCUUCAGUCGUGGUCAAGAUCAGAACUAAUUAACUUACACUUUUAUUUACUUUAUGGCAAUGGUCAGCCAAAUUUGUGGUUUGUCGUGUUUAAAAUGUUCAAACAUUUGGUUCUAAAAUCUAGCGAAUAUCAAAACUUUAUACCUCUUAACGAAUAUAGCUGCAACUUGUUUUUUGGAUUUUA